rnacentral:rRNA from 1 species
UAACACAUGCAAGUCGAACGGUAACAUAAAGAAGCUUGCUCCUUUGAUGACGAGUGGCGGACGGGUGAGUAAUGCUUGGGAAUCUAGCUUGUGGAGGGGGAUAACUACGGGAAACUGUAGCUAAUACCGCGUAAUAUCGAGAGAUUAAAGUGUGGGACCUUCGGGCCACAUGCCAUAGGAUGAGCCCAAGUGGGAUUAGGUAGUUGGUGAGGUAAAGGCUCACCAAGCCGACGAUCUCUAGCUGGUCUGAGAGGAUGACCAGCCACACUGGGACUGAGACACGGCCCAGACUCCUACGGGAGGCAGCAGUGGGGAAUAUUGCGCAAUGGGGGCAACCCUGACGCAGCCAUGCCGCGUGAAUGAAGAAGGCCUUCGGGUUGUAAAGUUCUUUCGGUAGCGAGGAAGGCAUUUAGUUUAAUAAACUAGGUGAUUGACGUUAACUACAGAAGAAGCACCGGCUAACUCCGUGCCAGCAGCCGCGGU